GCGUUUCUGCACUUGAAUUCGGUUUUAAAGAUGGACUCAUAAUCCCUGGGUUCUGGGUUCGAAUCCCGGAGGGCCCACCA
rnacentral:tRNA from 1 species